CCUACGGGAGGCAGCAGUAGGGAAUAUUGCUCAAUGGGGGAAACCCUGAAGCAGCAACGCCGCGUGGAGGAUGAAGGUUUUCGGAUUGUAAACUCCUUUUGUUAGAGAAGAUAAUGACGGUAUCUAACGAAUAAGCACCGGCUAACUCCGUGCCAGCAGCCGCGGUAAUACGGAGGGUGCAAGCGUUACUCGGAAUCACGGGGCGUAAAGAGAGCGUAGGCGGGAUAGCAAGUCAGAUGUGAAAUCCUAUGGCUUAACCAUAGAACUGCAUUUGAAACUGUUAUUCUAGAGUAUGGGAGAGGUAGGUGGAAUGCUUGGUGUAGGGGUAAAAUCCGUAGAGAUCAAGAGGAAUACUCAUUGCGAAGGCGACCUGCUAGAACAUAACUGACGCUGAUGCGCGAAAGCGUGGGGAGCAAACAGGAUUAGAUACCCCUGUAGUC
rnacentral:rRNA from 1 species